UCCAUGGUGGCUCAGUUGGUAAAGAAUCUGACUGAAAUGCAGGAGACCCAGCUUCAAUCCCUGGAUGUGGAA
rnacentral:tRNA from 1 species